rnacentral:rRNA from 1 species
GAUGAACGCUGGCGGCGUGCCUAAUACAUGCAAGUCGAGCGAACAGACGAGUAGCUUGCCCCUCUGACGUUAGCGGCGGACGGGUGAGUAACACGUGGAUAACCUACCUAUAAGACUGGGAUAACUUCGGGAAACCGGAGCUAAUACCGGAUAAUAUAUUGAACCGCAUGGUUCAAUAGUGAAAGACGGUUUUGCUGUCACUUAUAGAUGGAUCCGCGCCGCAUUAGCUAGUUGGUAAGGUAACGGCUUACCAAGGCGACGAUGCGUAGCCGACCUGAGAGGGUGAUCGGCCACACUGGAACUGAGACACGGUCCAGACUCCUACGGGAGGCAGCAGUAGGGAAUCUUCCGCAAUGGGCGAAAGCCUGACGGAGCAACGCCGCGUGAGUGAUGAAGGUCUUCGGAUCGUAAAACUCUGUUAUUAGGGAAGAACAAAUGUGUAAGUAACUAUGCACGUCUUGACGGUACCUAAUCAGAAAGCCACGGCUAACUACGUG